AAAUUGAAGAGUUUGAUCAUGGCUCAGAUUGAACGCUGGCGGCAGGCCUAACACAUGCAAGUCGAGCGGUAGCACAGAGAGCUUGCUCUCGGGUGACGAGCGGCGGACGGGUGAGUAAUGUCUGGGAAACUGCCUGAUGGAGGGGGAUAACUACUGGAAACGGUAGCUAAUACCGCAUAACGUCGCAAGACCAAAGUGGGGGACCUUCGGGCCUCAUGCCAUCAGAUGUGCCCAGAUGGGAUUAGCUAGUAGGUGAGGUAACGGCUCACCUAGGCGACGAUCCCUAGCUGGUCUGAGAGGAUGACCAGCCACACUGGAACUGAGACACGGUCCAGACUCCUACGGGAGGCAGCAGUGGGGAAUAUUGCACAAUGGGCGCAAGCCUGAUGCAGCCAUGCCGCGUGUGUGAAGAAGGCCUUCGGGUUGUAAAGCACUUUCAGCGGGGAGGAAGGCGAUAAGGUUAAUAACCUCAUCGAUUGACGUUACCCGCAGAAGAAGCACCGGCUAACUCCGUGCCAGCAGCCGCGGUAAUACGGAGGGUGCAAGCGUUAAUCGGAAUUACUGGGCGUAAAGCGCACGCAGGCGGUCUGUCAAGUCGGAUGUGAAAUCCCCGGGCUCAACCUGGGAACUGCAUUCGAAACUGGCAGGCUAGAGUCUUGUAGAGGGGGUAGAAUUCCGGUGUAGCGGUGAAAUGCGUAGAGAUCUGGAGGAAUACCGGUGGCGAAGGCGGCCCCCUGGACAAAGACUGACGCUCAGGUGCGAAAGCGUGGGGAGCAAACAGGAUUAGAUACCCUGGUAGUCCACGCCGUAAACGAUGUCGAUUUGGAGGUUGUGCCCUUGAGGCGUGGCUUCCGGAGCUAACGCGUUAAAUCGACCGCCUGGGGAGUACGGCCGCAAGGUUAAAACUCAAAUGAAUUGACGGGGGCCCGCACAAGCGGUGGAGCAUGUGGUUUAAUUCGAUGCAACGCGAAGAACCUUACCUGGUCUUGACAUCCACAGAACUUUCCAGAGAUGGAUUGGUGCCUUCGGGAACUGUGAGACAGGUGCUGCAUGGCUGUCGUCAGCUCGUGUUGUGAAAUGUUGGGUUAAGUCCCGCAACGAGCGCAACCCUUAUCCUUUGUUGCCAGCGGUUAGGCCGGGAACUCAAAGGAGACUGCCAGUGAUAAACUGGAGGAAGGUGGGGAUGACGUCAAGUCAUCAUGGCCCUUACGACCAGGGCUACACACGUGCUACAAUGGCAUAUACAAAGAGAAGCGACCUCGCGAGAGCAAGCGGACCUCAUAAAGUAUGUCGUAGUCCGGAUUGGAGUCUGCAACUCGACUCCAUGAAGUCGGAAUCGCUAGUAAUCGUAGAUCAGAAUGCUACGGUGAAUACGUUCCCGGGCCUUGUACACACCGCCCGUCACACCAUGGGAGUGGGUUGCAAAAGAAGUAGGUAGCUUAACCUUCGGGAGGGCGCUUACCACUUUGUGAUUCAUGACUGGGGUGAAGUCGUAACAAGGUAACCGUAGGGGAACCUGCGGUUGGAUCACCUCCUUACCUUAAAGAA
rnacentral:rRNA from 1 species